rnacentral:rRNA from 1 species
UAGGGAAUCUUCGGCAAUGGGGGGAACCCUGACCGAGCAACGCCGCGUGAGUGAAGAAGGUUUUCGGAUCGUAAAGCUCUGUUGUUAAGGAAGAACGAGGGUGAGAAUGGAAAGUUCAUGCUGUGACGGUACUUAACCAGAAAGGGACGGCUAACUACGUGCCAGCAGCCGCGGUAAUACGUAGGUCCCGAGCGUUGUCCGGAUUUAUUGGGCGUAAAGCGAGCGCAGGCGGUCAAUUAAGUCUGAUGUGAAAGCCCCCGGCUCAACCGGGGAGGGUCAUUGGAAACUGGUUGACUUGAGUGCAGAAGAGGAGAGUGGAAUUCCAUGUGUAGCGGUGAAAUGCGUAGAUAUAUGGAGGAACACCAGUGGCGAAGGCGACUCUCUGGUCUGUAACUGACGCUGAGGCUCGAAAGCGUGGGUAGCAAACAGG